CCUGGCGGCACUAGCGCGGUGGUCCCACCUGACCCCAUGCCGAACUCAGAAGUGAAACGCCGUAGCGCCGAUGGUAGU
rnacentral:rRNA from 5 species